GGGCCUCCUCCAGCCCGGCCAGCUUGCAGCGGGCAUCAUUAAGGGCCGCCUCGCCCUGCUGCUCCGCCUGGGUCACAGUGGCUUCCAACUUGGAGUUCUAAAGGCCCAGAAGAGAACAAGGAGGCAGGUGCCCUGAGACACUCACCUUGCUGCGGUACCAGCUCUCAGCCUCGGCCCGACUGCGGCCGGCAAUGUCGUCAUAGUUCGCCUUGAUCUCGGCCACAAUGCUGUCCAUAUUUAGGUCCCGGCUGUUGUCCAUCUUGAUGAUGACCGAGGCGUCUGAGAUGCCAGCUGCUGGUUUUCUGCCUGGACCACAGCCCCUCACCUCCUCAUACAGUCGCCGCAGGAAGUCGAUCUCCUGAAUCAGGGCCUCUGAGUUGGCCUCCAGGUCUGACUUGCAGAGACUUCCUGCAGCAGUAGACAGGACACCGUCCCUCAACAGCGAGACUGGAGCUGCCAUGCCUCCAUGGGACCCCAGCCACAGACCACCACCUCUGGAGCAGCACAGAACGUCCAGAGCUCAACUCAGCCAUCCCGCUGCUUCAGGGCAGGGUGCAGGUGGAUACUCCAAGGUGCUACAGGUGGGAGCCUGAGAGGCCGGGAGGAGAUGGCUUGGGAGACUGCAGAAGCCCCCUCCCCACAGACCGCAGGGCACAGCUGCUGGGUGAUCAGGCUCCAGGAAGUGAAGGCUGAAGGAGCAGAGAGAGACCUCCUGGGGAAUCACAGCCCUACUCUUAGGCAUCUGAUCGAUGACUGCCUGAUGUGAAGAUCCUGCUGCACAGCGCCCACCUGCCCUGCAAGGUCACUGGCCCUUCUCGGAAAGUCUUCUCCAGUCUCAUCCAGAGAUCCGAGUUCUCCACACUCACAUCUCAGACACCUCGGUCAUCGUCACGAUGGACAACAGCCUAGACCUGAACAUGGACAGCAUUGUGGCCGAGAUCAAGGCGAACUAUGACGACAUUGCCGGCCGCAGUCGGGCCGAGGCUGAGAGC